rnacentral:rRNA from 1 species
AACGAACGCUGGCGGCAUGCCUAACACAUGCAAGUCGAACGAGACCUUCGGGUCUAGUGGCGCACGGGUGCGUAACGCGUGGGAACCUGCCCUUAGGUUCGGAAUAACUCCCCUAAAGGGGUCCUAAUACCGGAUAAUGUCUUCGGACCAAAGAUUUAUGGCCUUUGGAUGGGCCCGCGUUGGAUUAGCCAGUUGGUAGGGUAAAAGCCUACCAAGGCGACGAUCCAUGGCUGGUCUGAGAGGAUGAUCAGCCACACUGGGACUGAGACACGGCCCAGACUCCUACGGGAGGCAGCAGUGGGGAAUAUUGGACGCUGGGCGAAAGCCUGAUCCAGCAAUGCGGCGUGAGUGAUGAAGGCCUUAGGGUUGUAAAGCUCUUUUACACGGGAUGAUAAUGACAGUACCGGGAGAAUAAGCUCCGGCUAACUCCGUG